rnacentral:rRNA from 1 species
AUUGAACGCUGGCGGCAUGCUUUACACAUGCAAGUCGAACGGUAACAGGUUAAGCUGACGAGUGGCGAACGGGUGAGUAAUGCAUCGGAACGUGCCCGGUCGUGGGGGAUAACGUAGCGAAAGCUGCGCUAAUACCGCAUACGAUCUGAGGAUGAAAGCGGGGGAGCGUAAGGCCUCGCGCGAUCGGAGCGCCCGAUGUCAGAUUAGGUAGUUGGUGAGGUAAAGGCGCACCAAGGCGAUGAUCAGUAGCUGGGCUGAGAGGACGAUCAGCCACACGGGGACUGAGACACGGCCCAGACUCCUACGGGAGGCAGAAGUGGGGAAUUUUGGACAAUGGGGGCAACCCUGAUCCAGCAAUGCCGCGUGAGUGAAGAAGGCCUUCGGGUUGUAAAUCUCUUUUGUCAGGGAAGAAACAGCAGCUCUAACACAGUCUGCGAAUGACGGUACCUGAAGAAUAAGCACCGGCUAACUACGUGCCAGCCGCCGCCGUAA